rnacentral:rRNA from 1 species
GACGAACGCUGGCGGCGUGCUUAACACAUGCAAGUCGAACGGAAAGGCCCUGCUUUUGUGGGGUGCUCGAGUGGCGAACGGGUGAGUAACACGUGAGUAACCUGCCCUUGACUUUGGGAUAACUUCAGGAAACUGGGGCUAAUACCGGAUAGGAGCUCCUGCUGCAUGGUGGGGGUUGGAAAGUUUCGGCGGUUGGGGAUGGACUCGCGGCUUAUCAGCUUGUUGGUGGGGUAGUGGCUUACCAAGGCUUUGACGGGUAGCCGGCCUGAGAGGGUGACCGGCCACAUUGGGACUGAGAUACGGCCCAGCCUCCUACGGGAGGCAGCAGUGGAGAAUAUUGCACAAUGCGCGGAAGCCUGAUGCAGCAACGCCGCGUGCGGGAUGACGGCCUUCGGGUUGUAAACCGCUUUCGCCUGUGACGAAGCGUGAGUGACGGUAAUGGGUAAAGAAGCACCGGCUAACUACGUG